UACGUAGGGUGCAAGCGUUGUCCGGAAUUAUUGGGCGUAAAGAGCUCGUAGGCGGUUUGUCGCGUCGAAUGUGAAAACCCGGGGCUCAACUCCGGGCCUGCAUUCGAUACGGGCAGACUAGAGUUCGGUAGGGGAGACUGGAAUUCCUGGUGUAGCGGUGAAAUGCGCAGAUAUCAGGAGGAACACCGGGUGGCGAAGGCGGGUCUCUGGGCCGAUGACUGAC
rnacentral:rRNA from 1 species